GAUCCUGGCUCAGGACGAACGCUGGCGGCGUGCCUAAUACAUGCAAGUAGAACGCUGAAGGAGGAGCUUGCUCUUCUGGAAGAGUUGCGAACGGGUGAGUAACGCGUAGGUAACCUACCUUUUAGCGGGGGAUAACUAUUGGAAACGAUAGCUAAUACCGCAUAACACAUUUUACUGCAUGGUAAGAUGUUAAAAGAUGCAAUUGUAUCACUAAGAGAUGGACCUGCGUUGUAUUAGCUAGUUGG
rnacentral:rRNA from 1 species